GCCCAGCCAGCUCUGCCUCUCCUCUCUGCCGAUGCUCCUGACGCAGACAACUGCAGUGACUACGCCCUUCCUCAGCCCCCACACUCCUCAAAAAGUGCUUUUCUGGGUUUCCACGACUGCCUCCCUUCCUCCCCAAAACGAUUCUCCAUCCGAGGAAUAUUUGAAACAGCUGCUGCCCGUCCUAAUGUGCCAGGGCUGAGAUUGCUGCUGGAACUUCCCAGGGCUGCUGCAGUAACCCCGCCCCACUCCUGGGAAGAAGAUUCUAGGCAAGUGACCGCUUCCACCCUCUUUAUGGCCCUGGUCUGGGGUCAGAAAGGAAGAGGACUGAGGAAAAUAUAGGUAAAGGCUGUCCUUGCAUUGUGAAUGUCCAGCCCAGGGGAAUACUUGGCACAUGGUAAAUGCUCGAAUAUAUUGUAUGAAUGAAUGAAGAUAAUGAAUGAAUGAAUGAAUGAAUGAAUGAAUGAAUGAAGAUAAAAAGGGAAUAGGAUCCAGUUCCUGGGAUGCCCCAGCUCAAGCUGCUGCUCCAACAGGACAGUCCUACACUACAGGUUUUGAUCCAGGCCAAAAGGGGUACGAUUGAUUCUGCAGUGCUCAGAUUCUGGAUGCAGUAUGAGGGGACAUCGUUCCUCUGCAGAUGUUACGGCUGCUGAAAUGAGGAAGAAGGAAAGGAAAGGAAAGGAAGAAAAGAAGGAAGAAAGAAAAGUCAGGAACCUGUUGAGGUUGUAACGACAAGGAAAUAUUCAAGAGGAAGCCUUUCAGAACCUUCAUACACUUGGUGAGAAUGUAAAUUCGUACGACCACUAUGGAGAACACUUUGGAGCUUCUUCAAAAAACUAAAAAUAGAGCUACCAUAUGGGGCGAUCCAGCAAUGCUCCCACUGGGUAGAGACCUGAAAGAAAGGAAAUCAGUAGGACAAAGAGAUAGCUGCACUCCUGUGUUUGCUGCAGCACUGUUCACUAUAGCCAAGAUUUGGAAGCAACCUAAGUGUUUACCAAUAGAUGAAUGCAUAUAGAAAAUGUGGUACAAAUACACAAUGGAGUAUUAUUCAGCCAUAAAAAAGAAUGAGAUCCUGUCAUUUGCAACAACAUAGAUGGAGCUAGGGAUCAUUAAGCUAAGUGAAAUAAGCAAGGCAAAGAAAGACAAGCAUCACAUGUUCUCACUUAUUUGUGGGAUACAAAAAUCAAAACAAUUGAAUUCAUGAACAUAAAGAGUAGAAGGAAGGUUACCAGAGGCUGGGAAGAGUAGUAGCAGGUGAGGGUGAGGUGGGGAUGGUUAAUGUUAAUGGGUACAGAAAAAAAAUAGAAUGAAUAAGACUUACUAUGUGAUAGCACGACAGGUUGACUAUAGUAAUAACUUAAUUGCACAUUUUAAAAUAACCAAAAGAAUAUAAUUGGAUUUUUUGCAACACAAAGGAUAAAUGCUUGAGGGGGUGUAAUUCUCAUUCUCCAUAUGUAAUUAUUACACAUUGCAUGCCGGCAUCAAAGCAUUUCACUUACCCAGUAAAUAUAUACACCUACUAUGUAUCCACAAAAUUAAAAAUAAAAAUUUGUUUAAAGAAUCUUUAAAAAUAAUGGCAAUGACAUAAUCAAAAUACUUCAUAAAUAAUUUAAUAUUGAUUACAUGUGGAAAUACUAUUUUUUAUAUAUUUAGUUAAAUAAAAAAAAUUCCAACUUCAAAAAAAAAAAAAGAAAUCUUUCAUUGUAGGGAAAAGUAGAAACAAAUCCUGAGGAAGACAUAAUUUUAUUGUCAUCUCUGUGGAGAUGUUCACUGAGAGUCUUGAAAAUGAGAUGCUUUCUGGGUAGAAAGAGACCAGAAGGGUGUAUGAUCCCAAGGGCUAAGAGAGUUUUGAGAUAAAAAGAAAUAAUCAGGCUGGGCACAGUGGCUCACGACUGUAAUCCCAGCACUUUGGAAGGCUGAGGCAGGCAGAUCACAAGGUCAGGAGUUCGAGACCAGCCUGACCAACACGGUGAAACCCCAUCUCUACUAAAAAUACAAAAAUUAGCUGGGUUUGGUAGUAUCCGCCUGUAAUCCCAG
rnacentral:lncRNA from 1 species